CUCACAGAAAUAGUUCUCUCUGCAUUGGUGAUGGGACUGUUACCUUUCUGUCAUCGUAAAAGAGUAUGCGCUUUGCAUAUAUCAGGCUGUUGAAACCUCUUUCAAGUGUGCCCCGCUGGUCUAUCUGAAUUAGAAGAUGGAGGAAUCUGAAGCAAUUGGGAAGCAAGAGGAGCCAGUGAUUGUAUUGCCACCAUGUUGUAGGAGCAAUGUGCUUGGCAGAUUCACAGAUUGCAUUGUUGGACCAAACACCUGAAGAGAUUCUGUAUUCUGCAACAUUCGAAGCAGGUGUCAAUCUCCCAGUCCACUGAGGAGAAGUGAUAUCUCUGGGAUGAGUGGUCUGCUCACUGGGACAAGUCUGGAGGACAGCAGCCUCAGGGUAGCAGCUGUCCUACACCAAACUCCACUUCUAGGACAGAAGUCACCAGAGGACGGCAGGCAGCAAUCCACAAAAAGGACCCUUGUACUCACUCCUAUUCUCUAGUAGAGAUGGCAGUGCCCGCUGCUUAUUGGGGCUGUAAGAAUAUGCCUCCGGGGUUUACACUGAUAAAUAUAUGGUAUAUAGAUCUUCAGAAUAUAGGAACUUGUAAUUGGCUAAUAUUAUAAGUUUUGAAAUAAUGUGACUUCAUUUGAAAUACUUAUUAGUUAUUAGUAAGGCUCCAUGUUUGUCACAGAGGUCACAGCUUCUGUGACUUUCCAUGACCUCCGUGACUUCUGCAGCAGCCAGAGCGCCUGGCCCAGGGGUCACCUGAUCACCUCGGGCAGCCCCUGGGUCAGGCACAUCAGUCGUGGCUAGGGCAGUCAC